AUGGAAAGGAAGGAGAUAGCGGCGGCUGACGGCGCCGAAAUCCAUGCCGCUGCGGUGGGCAAUUUGGGACGCUCGUCGGCGAUGUCGCGUCCGGCAGCGCUCUACCUUGCUCUGCUCGUUGAGGAUGUGCGGGCCGCCGUCCUUGAAGGCAGACGUUCUGGCCACGGUGAUGGGGGCUACGUGUGCCGUCGGCCGUGAUGGCAGGCGCGGUGGUCGGGAAAUGGUGGGUGAGCGUGAUACGGUGACGGCGGGUCGGGAGACGGCGUCUGCGCGUAAGACGGAGGCUGAGCUGCCUCUGUGUGCUGGAGCUUGUUCCCGCGGCAUGGAGAGGAGCUACAGCCCGCACAUCGCAAGGGGAUGGAGGCCCCCCUCUCCCGGUCCAUCCAGCUGCUGAUUUUAUUCUGGUCGAUGAGGAUGGCGUGAAAGACGGCAGUUCCACUCCGAGUAUGUUUGAUGCGAGCACACAAAACCUUUGCCGUUGCGUCCCAAUCUCUACUGUAUAUGUCUAAAAGCAGGAAUGGAACUAAUGUUGCCUGUUGAUCGGAGGGGGAGAGCCAACGGGAGCGGGGACGAAGUUCACAGGUGGUGGUGCCAUGAUCCUCUUAGAGCCAGGACAGCCCAUCUUUGCCAAGACCCGAUUUCUGUUCUACACGACUCAUGGUCAGAACGCUGCAUGACUUUUAUAGCAUGGCAUUAGAGAUAUGGCGGGAAGAGAAGCGCUCCUCAUUUUGUAUUGGCGCCAGCUAAAAAGACAUAAUUUGGCUGAUACGACUUUCUCAAUAUCAA